AUGUCACUUCAAAGCCAACUCCAGGAUUCCUUCAUGCAGAUAGGACCUGAGGGGGCUGCUGAUGUGCCAGGUGUUGUGCAAGGGCCCCAUGCUUUCCCAAACCCGGCGCCCCGCCUCCCUCCUGGACUCAUCUGGCCCUGCCCUUUCACCCAGUGGUUCACGAUUCUGAGUGAGUGUCUGCCUUCUUCCUCGGGGUGGAACCCCUCGAGGGCAGGGACUGGGUCUGGUUCAUCGGGGGUCCCUGUCCCCACACCUGGCACGGCGUUACCGGUUGUGCAAUGCAUGUCAGAAUCAGGCCAAGGAGGAGAGGGGCUAUUGAAAGGAGACUCCCUUGGAGGCCCACACUGGGAGAAAGCUCAAGCAGUUGAUUGGCCGGCUCCACUGACUGGUGUCCAGAUGGGGGAGUUCAUGAAACCCCCAGAAGGUGGUGGUGGUGCAGGUCCUGGCCAGACACUACAGCAGUCAUUGUGA
rnacentral:lncRNA from 1 species